CCUACGGGGGGCAGCAGUGAGGAAUAUUGGUCAAUGGGCGGAAGCCUGAACCAGCCAAGUAGCGUGCGGGAUGAAGGCCCUACGGGCCGUAAACCGCUUUUGCACGGGGAUAACACCCUCCACUUGUGGAGGUCUGCAGGUACCGUGCGAAUAAGGGCCGGCUAAUUCCGUGCCAGCAGCCGCGGUAAUACGGAAGGCCCGAGCGUUAUCCGGUUUAAUUGGGCUUAAGGGGAGCGUAGGCGGUUGUUCAAGUCAGCUGGAAAAUCCGGCGGCCCAACCGCGGCCCGCAGUUGAAACUGGACUCCGUGAGUACACGAGAGGCAGGCGGAAUUCGUGGUGGAGCGGUGAAAUGCAUAGAUAUCACGAGGAACCCCGAUUGCGAAGGCAGCCUGCCGGGGUGCAACUGACGCUGAGGCUCGAAGGUGUGGGUAUCAAACAGGAUUAGAUACCCGGGUAGUC
rnacentral:rRNA from 1 species